rnacentral:rRNA from 1 species
UACGUAGGUGGCGAGCGUUGUCCGGAUUUACUGGGCGUAAAGCGCGCGCAGGCGGUCGUUCAAGUCGAAUGUGAAAGCCCCCGGCUCAACUGGGGAGGGUCAUUCGAUACUGAUCGACUUGAAGGCAGGAGAGGGAAGCGGAAUUCCCGGUGUAGUGGUGAAAUGCGUAGAUAUCGGGAGGAACACCAGUGGCGAAGGCGGCUUCCUGGCCUGUUCUUGACGCUGAGGCGCGAAAGCUAGGGGAGCAAACGGG